rnacentral:rRNA from 1 species
UGGAUCCAGACUUUGAUCCUGGCUCAGGAUGAACGCUAGCUACAGGCUUAACACAUGCAAGUCGAGGGGAAACGACAUCGAAAGCUUGCUUUUGAUGGGCGUCGACCGGCGCACGGGUGAGUAACGCGUAUCCAACCUGCCCACCACUUGGGGAUAACCUUGCGAAAGUAAGACUAAUACCCAAUGACGUCUCUAGAAGACAUCUGAAAGAGAUUAAAGAUUUAUCGGUGAUGGAUGGGGAUGCGUCUGAUUAGCUUGUUGGCGGGGUAACGGCCCACCAAGGCUACGAUCAGUAGGGGUUCUGAGAGGAAGGUCCCCCACAUUGGAACUGAGACACGGUCCAAACUCCUACGGGAGGCAGCAGUGAGGAAUAUUGGUCAAUGGACGAGAGUCUGAACCAGCCAAGUAGCGUGCAGGAUGACGGCCCUAUGGGUUGUAAACUGCUUUUAUAAGGGAAUAAAGUGAGUCUCGUGAGACUUUUUGCAUGUACCUUAUGAAUAAGGACCGGCUAAUUCCGUGCCAGCAGCCGCGGUAAUACGGAAGGUCCGGGCGUUAUCCGGAUUUAUUGGGUUUAAAGGGAGCGUAGGCCGGAGAUUAAGCGUGUUGUGAAAUGUAGACGCUCAACGUCUGCACUGCAGCGCGAACUGGUUUCCUUGAGUACGCACAAAGUGGGCGGAAUUCGUGGUGUAGCGGUGAAAUGCUUAGAUAUCACGAAGAACUCCGAUUGCGAAGGCAGCUCACUGGAGCGCAACUGACGCUGAAGCUCGAAAAGUGCGGGUAUCGAACAGGAUUAGAUACCCUGGUAGUCCGCACGGUAAACGAUGGAUGCCCGCUGUUGGUUCU